CAGCAAUAAUACUCCCAGUAAUGUGUCUGAGUGUAUAACAGAGCUCCACAGCAAUAAUACUCCCAGUAAUGUGACUGAGUGUAUAACAGAGCUCCACAGCAAUAAUACUCUCAGUAAUGUGACUGAGUGUAUAACAGAGCUCCACAGCAAUAAUACUCCCAGUAAUGUGCCUGAGUGUAUAACAGAGCUCCACAGCAAUAAUACUCCCAGUAAUGUGUC
rnacentral:lncRNA from 1 species